UGCCCCAUGGCUGAGUUGGUUACAGCGUCCGACUGUUAGGAACUUGUUCCAAGCUUAUCGGAAGGUCGUGAGUUCAACCCUCACUGGGGCAG
rnacentral:tRNA from 1 species